AGGAAAAUGGAAAGCUUUCAGAGCCUAGACGCUCAUAUUGGAUGUGCGUAAACACGCGCCCGCCUUCUCAGCACAAAGUGCAUUACUGAGAUUUAUUCUUAAUUUUUUACGUUACUCUUUCAAGUUUGACGCUUCGCUUCAGGCUUCAUGGAGCCAGGCAGCAAGACGUGCGGCGGCAGGGCGAGGGCUGUAGCUGCUGCGGCGGAUCUGUAAGCGGAGGUUCCGGUUCCGGUACAACUUUGCCCCGCAGCCUCACGGGGUUAUCUCCCCGCAGCGGUGCCGUAAGGAAGGGAUGAGACGUUUUCCAGCACCAGCCAGAGCGUUCAGUGUUACGCGAAGAAUCUGUUCAAAACGGUAUCGAUGUCUUCUCAGUGUCUCGUGAUGCUCAAGAGAUGCCCCCCGGCCCGGGUUUGCCUGCCGGUCGUUAAGCGUGGUGAAGGUAAGGGGCCAUCCCUCUGCCUGGGGGCUCCCGGCUCUGUCUCCAGCGGGUGCCCCGCAGGUGCGGCCGCGAGGGCUGCCUGGUGGGGAGAGUCGGGGCCCCCAGGGGCCGGGGCUGUUUGUCGCCCCGGGGAGCCCGUCCCAGCGCGGGAACAUGUCCGAGCAGAGCCCGAGAGAGACGUGACACCGUCCUCUGGCACGCUCCCGCUCCGCCGUGGGGCGGCCGCUAGCCUGCGGACAGGGGCUGGGGGGGCUGCAGCUGUUUGGGGGGCUGCCCCACCUUUUAGAUUUUAGCAGAGCUCCCCCUUUUCUGGGGGGUGGGGUGUGUGUGUGUGUGUGUACCUUUGUAAAUGGCACUAUUAAAGUAAUGAGCUGCA